CAUACAGUCCACUGUUCCCCUACACAAGUAUGCUUCAAUGUGUGACCUUUGAAAAGGAAACACGCCCCCCAUGACAAAUUUAGCAGGAUGUCCCGGCUUUCAUAUGCCUCUCCCAGGAAAAGUAUGAGAUGGAUCCUUAGGCUUUCCACUGCUGACUUUCACGUUGUAAGUUUUCCUUUAAAAUUCUGUUUUGUACUCCAUGCUGUGUCUUGAGCCCUGUUGUAUGUUGCAUGACAGGUGUGACAACAAAAGGACUCACUGUGUGCAGUAACCGUGGAUGUGGAUUUACCGUUCCACUCCUCUGACUGUGCAUAUGGGGAAGGGGAACAGGCCUUGCAGGAGGGCCUGAAAGAUGUGGCCUGGCCGUAACUCAAAAAAGGAAAGCGAGGUCUGGGUGCAGUGGUUCAUGCCUGUAGUCCCAGCACUACGGGAGCUGAGGCGGGUGGAUCACCCGAGGUCAGGAGUUCGGACCAGCCUGGCUAACAUGGCAAAACUCUGUCUCUACUGAAAAAUACAAAAAAAAAAUUAGCUGGGCAUGGUGGCAUGCACCUGUAGUCCCGGCUACUUGGGAGGCUGAGGCUGAAGAAUCGCUUGAACCUGGGAGGCAGAAGUUGCAGUGAGCUAAGAUUGCGCCACUGCACCUCCAACCUGGGAACAGAGCAAGACUCUGUCUCAAAAAAAAAAAAAAAAAAAAAAAGGAAGACUCCUCCAGGAUGGGUACUCAACUUACAGAGAUUAUUUGAUAAAAUUCAAUAAAUCAGCAUUUUUUGAGAAGAGAUUCAACAUUUUCCAAAAGAUCAGUUUGCACAUCUCCACUUUUCAACUCCAGCCAUUGAGCAUCUUGAGGAAUUCUCAAAGGAUCCCAAAACAUGUACAACUUGGCAGUGAAUUGUUUGCAGGCGUUUUUCAAUUGGUUCUUUGGAUUUCAGGGCAUGCUGCUGGAUAAUGCUCAAUGGCAACGGAAGACCCCAACCCUGCUCUCUCACGUCUCUUAUCCCCAUACCACAACUGAAGCAUGACGCUCUGGAGGAGAGGCUUGGUAAGCAGUGGGACCAGAUCCCCAAACUGCCAUCACAUGACAGCAUCCGCAUUUCACCAGGGACCCAUGAGCAGCUCAGGGAAGAGUGGAUCCCCAGUGACGGCUUCACUCAAGAGCCAGCAGAAGUCCUUUAGGCCUGCAUGACUCAGCCUCAGGGAAAGCUCAUCCUCAUCUUAAAAUCAAGGGUUUUUUUCCUAGGCACCUCAGAGUAAGUGAAGGAGAAAAGGUCUUGGAAGAGCACUGUCAUCGUUUCUGUUUUGGAGGCUGUGAUUUUUAUAAUUGAAAAUAAGAAGACAAUGAAGCAGCAUUGGAUAUUAACUUGUCAAAGUUCAGCCAUCUUUGCCAGAGGCGUCUUCCUCCCACACCCCUACGGCAUUGUCCUUUGCCAAAACUGAAAUAUGUGUCACUGUGUCCUGGAGGCAGAAUGAAAAUAUAGACACUAAGCAAACAGGAAGAAACACAUGAAGAAAAACCCACCAACAGUUAUACAUGGCAGGUGUACAGACUCUUCCCCACUCAACAGCACUCCCCAGCAUGACAUCCUGUAAUGUUGCCAGCGCGUGGGUAAAGAGGGGUUUUCUCGGGGUACAGAACACAAAAUUCUUUUUUAACAUAUUUUAUCACCUGCCCCUCCUUCCCUGAAGACUCUUCUCUUCCCCAGUAGGAAGCAAUCUGUCCAUUCCCUGCUUUCACAUGACUCGUAAAGUUCUUGUGGCAUUUGUUCCCAGGCUGCCUGUGAAAUCCUGAGGACAGAGACUGUAUUGUCUUUUGCUGUCUUCUUCAUGGUAUCCAGAAGAGAACCUGGUGUCCAGGCUCCUUUGAGCAGUAACCUGCAGAAUCUGCCCAGCCUGGGGAAAUGUAAAGAACAAUAUUUUGAAGAGUGUGAAGAAAAUAUUCAAACUUCUAUUUAUGCCUAUUUUUUAACUCCAAAUAAGAACAAAAUUAACCCUUAUUAUUCUUUAUAGAUUUACAGGAGUGUAUAAACAUAAAUAUAAAAAUAUAAAUAAAUGUAUUGAGGUGAAUGCGCAAAUUUUCUUAUUGGUGGAGUUUGAUUAAAAAAAUGUUUUGAGACCAUUGCUCUAGUGCUGAAUUAAUAAUUGCUGCUUGAAAUGUUUAGUGACUCUAAAGGGUUUAGCUUUAAAUAGGAAGAGUUAUUGCCCAAGACAAAUGUAGAUCAUUCAUUUAUUCUUGCCAACAAACAAACACGAAUAUUAAAUAGUGUCUUUUUUUUUUUUUUUUUGAGACGGAGUUUCACUUUUGUUGCCCAGGCUGAGGUGCAAUAGCGCGAUCUCGGCUCACUGCAACCUCCGCCUCCCAGGUUCAAGUGAUUCUCCUGCCUCGGCCUCCCGAGUAGCUGGAACUACAGGCAUGCACCACCACGCCCGGCUGAUUUUGUAUUUUUAGUAGAGACAGGGUUUCUCCAUGUUAAUCAGGCUGGACUCCAACUCCUGACCUCAGGUGAUUCUCCCACCCCGGCCUCCCAAAGUGCUGGGAUUACAGGUGUGAGUAGCCGCGCCUGGCUAAACAGUGUCUUCUAUGCGCCAGGCAUUGUGCUGGGCUCUGAGGGUUGUUUGUUUAAAGAUGGCGCCUCUGAUACUGACACGUGGGAGGGCUUUGAGGAAGUUUUAACCCUACCUAACAUGAUAGCAGAAUGUGAGUGAGCAGCAUACAGUGAAAUGGGCACUCUUACUGCCUCCUGGGGACAGGGAGCUGGGAUUUCGGCAGAACUUUUCUGGAGGACAUUUUGACAAACAUACUGAAGACUUUUUAAAAGUUCACACUUUUGACCCAGCAAGUUUACUUCCAAACAUUUUCUAAAGCAUACUUAAGAAUUUAUGCAGAUAUUUAUCUACAAGAAUGAUUAUCAUAUCAUUUCUAAAACUGAAAAAUCAGAAGCAACCCAAAUGCUCAACAACAUGGUAUUCCUUAUGUAAUAUGCGUUCUAGCCAUUCAACAGAACACAAUCCAGC
rnacentral:lncRNA from 1 species